CACCCCCGUGCACUUGUUUGGUCUGUACAGACCCGUCCUCAGGCAGCAGCACAGAGCACUGACCCGGAAACUCUGCCAAUAUCUGUGUGCAUGUGUGUGUUGUGUGCAGCGACGGACAGAAAAUGAGCAAGCAGAAGAAGAAUUACCCCGACCCUGGCCUGAUUGUGCAGAACCACGGCGCCGACGCUCUCCGGAAGAGGCCGUGGAGUUCCUGUACAAUGAGAGCACAGCCAGCGUGAGCGACAACAUCAUGGACAAAUGGAUCCAGUCUUUCACUCAGUCACUCAUUCAGUUCUUCAGAGAUGAGAUGGGAGCCUACAGACUAUACGGUGGUUCCCAAGCUUGUCAAGUUCAUGGAUAUGCUCGCGACUGAAGGGUGAGAGUGGUACUGAAGACUGCAUGCGAGCCCUGGAGACCCUCUUCAGCGUGCUCUUCUCCAUGUGCAGACUGAUGGCUCCCUUCACUCUGUUCAUAACGGAGCUGAUGUACCAGAACCUGCGUCACCUGAUCGACCCGGCGUCAGUCAAGGAGAAGGACACAGGAAGUAUUCACUACCUCAUGCUGCCACAUGUCAGUAUCUGCUGAAGGAGGUGCUGGUGAUCCAUCAGACCCAGAGGUGCUCAGAGAUAUCCAGUCCCUGCAGAAGUACAUCCUGGAGGAGCUGAAUGUCCGCCAGCUCACUCUGUCCACUGACAAGGACAAAUACAGCAUUCGUCUGAGCGAGUGGGGCAUUUAAAUCGGUUACUGCCUCCAUCAAAGAGCUGAAGAGUGAAGAGCUGGAGAUCUUCCAGAGGACAGGCAUGUCCACACACCAGUCACUCAAAAAUCACCAUUAUUCACACCUGCGUGACUUUCAUUCUCUGCCAAACACACAACUGUGAUGAAGGGACAGUAGAUGAGAUUCAGACACUUCAGCAAAGCGAAUGUCCACGUCUUCUCACGAGUCACACACAGUAUAAUUGACAGGGAUAUAGUUGUCUUCCUCAAUGUGCAGCACGUAAAUAUGCCAAAAAAAAAAGGUUUUGGUGUCUAGAGAGGAUUUCAGAGUAAGGAGAAUGAUCCUUGAGAAUAAUGAGAGUUUCUGUUUUGUGGCUCUGAGGUGGGCGGGGGUUUCAGAGCGGAUACCUGUGUGUUUGUGGAGGGAAGAGAAGAGCUCAAGCAGCCGUGUAAACCUCAGAUUAGAGAGCAGUGAUCUGAUAGUGGAGUUCAUCAUGCCUCUCACACGUAACAGUGAUGCUGUAAUGAGCAGAACGCUGGAUAAGACUGGGACAUUGAGACGUUAGUGUGCUCAGAUAUCUUCACUCUGUCUGUACACAAACCUGUGCUGAUUUAGCAAUGGAAAAUUCUUCAUUAGUACCAUAACAUGCCCAAGGUGCUGUGCUGCCUUUUCUCGAACAAGACUGGUCAUUUUCUCCCUGAAAUCAAAAGAUUUUUUUGACUAUUAUGAUUUAAUUUUUUCAUUAUUUAUUUAUUUAUGUAUUUACAUGUUUUCCCAACAGAAACACAAUGAUAUUUGUAAAUGAUGAUUCAAGCUAAAUA